rnacentral:tRNA from 1 species
GUUUUGGUGGUGUAGUGGCCAGCACACUCGACGCAUAUUCAAGAGGUCCGUGGUUCGAGUCCCGGCGAGGGCA